UAUUCAGUCACGUCCGGCCCCGUCCCGCCGCCGCGCACGCCAGCCAUGAGCUCCACGCAGUUCAACAAGGGCCCCUGGUACGGGCUGUCGGCCCAGGUCAAGAACCGGCUCCUGUGCAAGUAUGACCCACAGAAGGAGGCAGAGCUCCGAGGCUGGAUCGAGGGACUCACCGGCCUCUCCAUUGGCCCCGACUUCCAGAAGGGCCUGAAGGACGGGAUUAUCUUAUGCACACUCAUGAACAAGCUACAGCCAGGCUCAGUCCCCAAGAUCAACCGCUCCAUGCAGAACUGGCACCAGCUAGAAAACCUUUCCAACUUCAUUAAGGCCAUGGUCAGCUACGGCAUGAACCCCGUGGACCUGUUCGAGGCCAACGACCUGUUUGAGAGCGGGAACCUGAUGCAGGUGCAGAUGUUUCUUCUCGCCCUGGCGGGGAAGGCCAAGACUAAGGGGCUGCAGAGCGGGGUGGACAUCGGUGUUAAGUACUCGGAGAAGCAGGAGCGGAACUUCGACGACGCCACCAUGAACGCCGGCCAGUGUGUCAUCGUGCUGCAGAUGGGCACCAACAAAUGCGCCAGCCAGUCGGGCAUGACUGCGUACGGCACGAGGAGGCAUCUCUGCGACCCCAAGAACCACAUCCUGCCCCCCAUGGACCACUCCACCAUCAGCCUCCAGAUGGGCACCAACAAGUGUGCCAGCCAGGUGGGCAUGACAGCUCCCGGGACAUGGCGGCACAUCUACGACACCAAACUGGGAACCGACAAGUGUGAUAACUCCUCCAUGUCCCUGCAGAUGGGCUACACGCAGGGCGCCAACCAGAGCGGCCAGGUCUUCGGCCUGGGCCGGCAGAUAUACGACCCCAAGUACUGCCCGCAAGGCACAGUGGUCGACGGGGCUCCCUCCGAUCCUGGCGACUGCCGGGGCCCAGGGGAGGCCCCUGAAUAUCCCCCUUACUACCAGGAAGAGGCGGGCUACUGAGGCUCCCAGCGCGCUCUCUCCCCACGUCUCCCCAUCUCCCCGUCUGGGUUUCUGGGUUUUUCUGGGUUUUCAUCUUUUUUUAUUAACCUGUUCAGUGCUGCCAAUCAGCCGAGGGUCUGUGAGUGGCUCCUGGGAUCAGGCAGCAGGGCUUUCUCGCCCUAGCCUUGGUCCUUUGCAGGACUGAGCUACCGGGCUGGGGGGGGAGGGUUCAAGGCCGUAUCCUGAUACCUGUAGGGUCAGGGUUCCUGCUGGCCUGUCCAGGCUGUGGGCCGAGCUGUGCUGGGGAGAAGAGGCCUGGGCUUGGAGGGAACCGGUCCCUGAAGACUUCUGGUUGCCUGGCCCUCUUCUCAUUUUGUCACCAGAUCAGUUUGUGGUUUCUGUACCUGCAAAAGUUUCAGGAAGUAUUAACAAAAGAAAAAUACAUUUUUUCCCCCCAACGAAUGGGGCAGGGACAGUGGAGAGGAUGCUGGGCGAUGAGUCUCCUGGAAAGGGGGCCUGGCCACGAUGUUAAAUGUCUCAGGCUCCCAAGUGGCUGGAUUUCCCUCCGACCCUCAGACCUGCCCCGGGACCUGGUGGGGAAAGUGAGGCCUGUACAAGGAAGCAGAAUUCUGAGUUGUUGGGGCCAAGCCUGACCCCAUCUCCAUGCUACCCCACCCUCCCUGUAGCCUCAGUGGGUUUUUUUUAGUUGUUGCUGUUGCCCAGGCUAGAGUGCCUUGCGACAAUCUUCGCUCACUGCACGUCCACCUCCCGAGCUCAAGGGAUUCCCCUGCCUCAGUCUCCCAAAUAGCUGGGACUGCAGGUACUCCACCACACUGGCUAAUUUUGUAUUUUUGGUAGAGAGACAGGGUUUCACCAUGGUAGCCAGGCUGGUCUUGAACUCCUGGCCUCAGGUGAUCCACCCGCUUUGGCCUCCCCAAGUGCUAGGAUUACAGGCGUGAGCCACUGUGCCCGGCCCCUCAGUAGGUUUUAGGAGCCCCAGCCCUCCUCCUCCCCUUCUGGGCAUGACCAGCUAUAGUGCUCCAUCACCUCGGGCAACACACCCACCAAGUACUGCACAGGAACCCUCACCCAGGAGCCCUGCUCCAUCAGAUAAUGUGAAACCCAACUGUGGACCAAACGCAAUAAAACCUCUGUUUG